rnacentral:rRNA from 1 species
UAGGGAAUCUUCGGCAAUGGACGAAAGUCUGACCGAGCAACGCCGCGUGAGUGAAGAAGUUUUUCGGAUCGUAAAACUCUGUUGUUAGAGAAGAACAAGGACGUUAGUAACUGAACGUCCCCUGACGGUAUCUAACCAGAAAGCCACGGCUAACUACGUGCCAGCAGCCGCGGUAAUACGUAGGUGGCAAGCGUUGUCCGGAUUUAUUGGGCGUAAAGCGAGCGCAGGCGGUUUCUUAAGUCUGAUGUGAAAGCCCCCGGCUCAACCGGGGAGGGUCAUUGGAAACUGGGAGACUUGAGUGCAGAAGAGGAGAGUGGAAUUCCAUGUGUAGCGGUGAAAUGCGUAGAUAUAUGGAGGAACACCAGUGGCGAAGGCGGCUCUCUGGUCUGUAACUGACGCUGAGGCUCGAAAGCGUGGGGAGCAAACA